rnacentral:misc_RNA from 1 species
AAGUCGUAACAAGGUUUCCGUAGGUGAACCUGCGGAAGGAUCAUUACCGAGUUAGGGUCCCUUAGGGCUCGACCUCCAAACCCUUGUGUACCUCACAUGCCUGUUGCUUCGGCAGGCCCCCGUGCCUGCCGGAGCCCCAACAAAAAAAAUAUUGUCAUCGUGUCGUGUCUGAGUUUAAAAUGUUAAAUUGUUUAAAACUUUCAACAACGGAUCUCUUGGUUCCC